GGCCAUCAGAAGGGCGAGAUGAACAGGAAAAGGAAAUUGAAUACAGUAAAAUUCUAUUCUUCUUUUAAGAAACUGGAGUCCCCUUUAUUCCUGCAUGGGCACGAGGUGUAAGGAGUUGAUGUGUCAGCUGACAACUGUUCAUGAAAACCUCACCAAGAAAUGUCUGAGUUUCUAUAGAAUUUAAAGCCCCAGACUGAUCUAUUUUAGUUUCGAGCACAAGAACUUAUGUUUGACCUCGGUAGGGGAUGUAGCACACUGAGAUGCUCAAUAUCUGCUGAACAAAAGGACAGAGCUAUAGAACUGAAACCUGGACACCUCACCUGCAAGGAGGCCUUCAGCGUUCAAAGUUGUGAGAGCAUGUACAUUAUGCAGGUUUUAACGUGCAGUCCAAAUGACGAGAAGCACAGUUGUCUUGCCAUGCUGGUCACCUCAGGGGCUCUCUAUCAUCUCCAAGACCAAGUAGAAAGUUUGUAUUUUUGGUUUAUGUAA
ensembl:lncRNA